GAUGAACGCUGGCGGUCUGCUUAACACAUGCAAGUCGAACGGAAUCUUUCGGGAUUUAGUGGCGGACGGGUGAGUAACGCGUGAGAAUCUGCCUUCAGGUUCGGGACAACAGCUGGAAACGGCUGCUAAUACCGGAUGUGCCGAGAGGUGAAAGCUUAAGUGCCUGGAGAUGAGCUCGCGUCUGAUUAGCUAGUAGGAGUGGUAACGGCACCCCUAGGCGACGAUCAGUAGCUGGUCUGAGAGGAUGAUCAGCCACACUGGGACUGAGACACGGCCCAGACUCCUACGGGAGGCAGCAGUGGGGAAUUUUCCGCAAUGGGCGCAAGCCUGACGGAGCAAGACCGCGUGAGGGAAGAAGGUCUGUGGAUUGUAAACCUCUUUUGAUAGGGAAGAAGACAGUGACGGUACCUAUCGAAUCAGCCUCGGCUAACUCCGUGCCAGCAGCCGCGGUAAUACGGAGGAGGCAAGCGUUAUCCGGAAUUAUUGGGCGUAAAGAGUCCGUAGGUGGGUAACCAAGUCAGCUGUUAAAUAGUGAAGCUUAACUUCAUAGAGGCGGCUGAAACUGGUUGUCUAGAGUGUGGUAGGGGUAGAGGGAAUUUCCAGUGUAGCGGUGAAAUGCGUAGAUAUUGGAAAGAACACCGGUGGCGAAAGCGCUCUACUGGGCCUGCACUGACACUGAGGGACGAAAGCUAGGGGAGCGAAAGGGAUUAGAUACCCCUGUAGUCCUAGCCGUAAACGAUGGAUACUAGGCGUUGCCCG
rnacentral:rRNA from 1 species